rnacentral:misc_RNA from 1 species
GUACACGACUAGACAGGAUAAGGUGCUCUGGCACCGAAUAUAGCACACCUUACUCGGCUAUACUGUAGACGGGUAAAGGGGUGUUACAAAUCACAGAAGCCCUAGCCAAUUUAUUUGGCCCAUUUAAGCCCUUAAGAUUCAAAAAAAUACAAAACAAGACCUAAAUUAUCUAUAAAGUAAAUCAAAUAAGCCAAAAACACAAUCACAUGUUUCACAUGAUAAACGAACGUUACCGGAUCAUCCAUUUCAUCAGAGACAAGCCUAAUGUGAUUCUCUAUCCUCCACAAGGCCACUAAGUAGGCAUGGCUAGUUGGGAAGAAGCUCUAGGAAUAGUUGGAGUUCUUUUAGAGCACUGUACAAUCAUUCCUUGUCCUUUUCUCCUUUUCUCAAAUUGGAAGACAAGAGAACCAUCUUCAAC